ACUGAUCUCGCUGUAAGUGUUAGAGCUGCCUCACCAAUGUCUAAACGAUAUAACCGAGAGCUGUGAAGGGAGACAUCAGAGGGAAGAGCAGCACUUGGCACCUGCUGGACCAGCUUGCAGAGCCUGCAUCUGUGACCAUGACAUGCUUAACUUCAGAGAACUCAUUAUUACUUCCAUUGUGCUCUAGCAGUUUUCAUCCUUCACAGUCAGAGAUUCACAUCUGAUACAAUCUGCUAAGUACUUUGUAUGUUCAUACGGCUGCCAUCCUUGGGAGAUUUCUCAACCGCCUUGCAAUAUCUGAGGAGUUUCUCUGGUGCUUUUUGUAGAAGUGAAUGAUUGCCAGCUCCCCAGCAAAACUUCUGCAGCUCCAGUAAUGGACUUUUUUCUGAAUCACAGUAAGAAUUACCUCUGCUGGAGUUCAGCCCUGAUACAAUCUGCCACCACAAGGUCUAUGCCCUGUGAAAGUCCUGUUUCAAGGGUGAAUUUUACUCUUCUGGAUAACAUUUACAGCUUGCAGCUAGCAAAUGACUUGUACUUGAGUAUCCUUGCACAUCUGAAUCAUGGCAUUGAAUAUUUGAUGGAAACCUGCCAAUUUUAUGAAAAGUAAGGAUUUUGCUAAAUGUACAUUUUAUAAUGCCACUUAAGUAAAAGACAAGAGGCAGAGGUUUAAUAAAAUGGUUUAUCACUGCAGAAACAGUUAAAUAUUUCUUACAAAAUGAGCAGGACCUUACAAAUGCACUUAAGACUUUGCUUUUUCUAGUUAUCUCACCUUAUAUGAAUGAAGCAACAGAAAUGUAAUCAUCACCAUUUAUAAACUGUACAUAACAGUUCAUUGCUGUUCUGUGCUUUCCUGGUCUUUGUCAGAAUAAUGGACACAAAAUGGACACAAAUGGAACACAAAAUCAACAAAGCCAUCAUAUCCCCACCAAAAAGAAACACAAAGCACAUACUGAAGGUCUGAUGUUCAAUACGAACAAUUUUAUGUUUUCUUUAAAGAGAUGGUCGGUGUCAACUUUAAAGAUUGUCCAUAGCAUCAGUAGUAAUAAAUAGCCUAAAUAAAUGACAGCGGAUCACCUGACUAGAAAUUAAAGUAAAGCCUGGUUUUGUCCUUUUCACACAUCCCUGGUUUUGCUUAUAGUGAAUGAAAUCAUUUUGAAGUUCGUAUCUGUGCUGCACCCAGUUUUGGCAGCUUUAAUGAACAGAGUAUAAAUAUUUUCAAAUUGCUUUUCAAAAUGCUCUGUAACUCCCUAGUUCAUUUUUCUUUUUAAUUUUCUGUAUAAAAGCAACACUUGGA